CAUUCUUCUCAUUCUGCAAACAAGCCCUCUGGGAGGAGUGCCACUCAGGUCUUAGGAGGUAGGACCAGGGCCGUCCUGGAGCUGCCCGAGGCUGGCAGGUCAGGUUGGUUCUGCCUCACGCUAGGCUUUUCUUCGAGAAACGAGGAAUGGUGUGUUAGAGUACAGCAGCCGCCCCCUUUGCCCUCCCCCCACCCUCGUCCUCAUGGGACAGUUCUGUCCUCCUGUCCAACCCACCCCCCUGCCAGGUUUUCAGCUUUGUGUUUCCAGGUUGGUGUUGACAGACUGAACGUGGCCUUCCUACGAACAGUUGCAGUAAGAAGAGGCAGGAGGUAACACGGAGGGCGCCUUCCCUGUGGUCUGCGCCAGGCUGAGCCCUCGGAAUUCGUGAACUCCAAAGGAGAGAGCCUUCAGGAGUGGGUGGUCUCAGUUGUCACCACCCACCCACCUUGAGUCUGUUGCAUCCUCCCAAAAGAUCUGCUUCAUCAAGGAUUCAUGGCAAUGGCUCUCCCACUGAAGACCUGUGAGCCCGUUGGAAUCGCACAGCACACUGCACAGCCGUGACCUAGACAGCUUCUCAUCGGCUGUCUCCUCCCACUCCACACCCAAAUUUCUUUCCUCUUUCAGUUGUCUCUGUUUCUCCUCUUUCUCUUCCCCUCCCUCGGCCUCUAUUAAUUCCCUUGAUUUUCCAGAGCCAUUAAGCACUAGGGCUCACCUUACAAAGCCCAAGGGCAUCUCAGCUUACAAAGCCGUCUCAGUCCCCAAAGCCCAACAACUUGGCCUCCAGCCCUUUCCUCGUGCGAGGGACCUUUUAGCACAUUCCAGCCACAUGAUCUGAAAUAAUCCUCGCAUUCUCGAGAGGGCUCCACAGCGGGGGAGCAGUGAAGGCUUCAAGGCAAAGCCGCGAGCUGGAAUGCCUGGGUGAGUCCCAGCCCGUCCACGACUAGCAGUGUGGGCCUUCAUUUCCUCAUCUCUAAAGUGGGGAUAGGAGCAGUACCUCUUCCAGAGCCGGCCAAAGCAAUGGAAAGACAUGUAGCACAAGUCUGAUGCGGAGGGUAGAUACACGCGUGCUUUGUGUGCUGAGCAGUGUUCGCCGCAGAUGGGUCAGAAACACAAGGGUGGCCCUAGGUGUCUAGCUACCAGGGAGGAGGACACCGUGCCCAUUCAGAAGGAACAGCCUCCGUGGAGCCUGGCGACCUGGGACCCUGGGCAGACAGACUCACUGCUUCUGAAAUCUUCCAGUGUGUCAAAAGAAGCCAAAAAUCCAGAGUUUUGCAUGGCAUCCUCGAAUUCGUAGAUACCGACAAUAAAUUUAUAAAGAGUUAUUAAACACCAGGCUGCACAAGAUGAAACGAGUCAGGGGGACUGAUCCUGAGGGAGGUUUCCAGACUGCAGCCUCUGCUCUCUUCUACCCCAUCAAGUCAGAGGAGGUGAGAGAGUGAAGCUAUGCUGGGACGGCAAAAUACAGAGGUGGUGAGUUGUUUUCCUUGUAGCCAGAGGAGGAUUUGAUCAUCCCAAGGGACGAGAGGGGACAUGGGGUGCCGCUGAGGCUCAGAAGGUGAAUGGGAGGUUACAGUGCCCUGCCUGGGGGGCAUGCCUCAGGGAAAGGCCAACCCAGUCGAGGAAAUCUUCUGGUUGGGACAAGACGACAGGAAAAGUCCCAGUUGUGGGUGGGUAUUUUCAAAAGGCCACUAAAUCUUCAAAUCAUGAGAUCACCCUUACUUUCUAGCUACCUUCUUGAUAGUGAUCAGAGCCUGGGCUCAGGAACCAAGCUGCCUGGAUGAAAUCCUAGCUCCACCCCUUACCUGCUGUGUGACUGUGAAUAAGUGACCUAACCUCUCUGUGCUUCAUUUUUAUUUGUAAACAUCAGCAGUGUCUAUCUCAUAGCUGUUGAAUAAAGAAAUUAAGUGGAUACAUGUGAAA